CACCCCCCAGGAUAGAAGUGCCUUUACAGUAUAAGAGUUACUGAUGGCGUCAUCGCCCUACUUGAACCAGAUGCCCUCACCAACCUCCAUGCAAUUGUAACAAUUCAAAAGAUGCAAAAGGAUGCUUUGGAGAUCCAAAUUUUGGAACAUAAGUUAUAGG